rnacentral:sRNA from 12 species
UCCUGUCUCGCGAAAAGUGCCGACUGUGGCUGCCUGCCCUCCAUCUAUAAGGGAUGGAAGGGAUAGCGAGGCAGGUUAUU